rnacentral:lncRNA from 1 species
UCACCCCUAACCCUGGCUGUCUCUCCUGUUGGAGCACUCAGAUGCAGCACCCUGGAGGCACAGAAAGGUCCUACGCAGUGGUGACCACCAACUUCUCUGCCCUUUUUCUUUUUUCUUAAAUGUAUUUUAAGUAUCGUGUUUGAAAUGAUUCCUUGGUGAGUCCUUCCCUUGUAACCCAACCCACAUGCUGGCUAGAGCUAAGGCUUUAGUGGAAAUAGAGAGAAAUUACAUUUUAAUGCUCCAGAAAGAGGUAGGAAGGAAAAGAGAGGGAGGGAGAAAAAUGGCAAAGAGCCAGCAGAAUUAAGUGGAACAAGCUGAGGGGCCAAUGAAAAUGUUUAGUUGAUAUGUAGCCCGCCCGUAGAUAUUUUAAGAAGGGGGAGGACUGUGGUGUUCUUAUUGCUGUCAUAUAAACCUCCUUUCCCUUUUAAAAUCUUUAGUAAAGACUUUAGUGUUCACAGAUGAUUGGCGGGGCUGGUUCCUAUUUGGUGAGUGGAGGUUUCAGGAAGUUUCAUAUCUGGGUCAACCCAAAGCCCAGAAAAGAGGCAGUCCACAAUGAGUCAGUAUCCAGGAAGUAGAGGCGGGAAUGGAAAAGGAAGAUUCCAAGAAUUUUCAAAAACACAAGAAAAGAGCUUUGGACUUCCACAGGCCAUGGACUGGGGAGAGGUAUAAGCCGAUAUAAAUCCAUCUUUUGGGGCUUUGAUUUUAGCCAGACCCUAUCUCCCAUCAUCAGCUGCAAGACGACAGUUCCAAACACAUGCCUGUAAUUGUCCUCGGCGUUGGCUUCCUUCUCGAGGACUUGGGUACUGUUCUUCAUGAGCCCUAAUUUUACAGCAUGUUGGAACGGCUCAACGUUGAAGCCAAAGUGGUAUGUGCCAGGUGAACAUCCUCAAGGGGCUUGAAAACCAGGAGAGGGAGCCCCUCUCCCAGUGUAGCGGAGCCAGUCCAAGCAGAAGGUGACCAGGAUUGCUGCUGGAACUUAGCAUCCAGUCUCACAGAGCCUGAAGAAAGGCCAGUCAGCUGGUCCUCCUCUCAUGCCUGUUCUGCUCGACACAAAGGACUGGAAGCAUCAGUGUGUCUCUGGAGUCCAGCAUGGAGGUACCGGUGUGUGGCCAGAUGGCUGGAGUUCAGGCUGAAUCUGUUCUUGCCGAUGGCAAGUUCUCUAACUUUCAGCCAGGUGCUUCUCCACUGCCUCCCCGCAACACACAGGGUACAAAUUUAAAGCCAGUCGUCUAGCUUCUGUUGCUACUUGCCUCUGCUUAGAAUAGCUGAGCCGCAUGGAUCUUAGAAAUCUCUCUCUUUUGCAUGUCAAUCAUAUCUGAAUAAAGUGGUUCUUUUACAAAAGAAAAUCUUUUCCCUCUCUCUUUUUCUCUCUCCCUCUCUUUCUCCGCCUUCAGUUCUUUUCUCCUUCCUUCUCUCUCUCCUUUUAACCUUCUUUGUAUUUGUCUUUAUUUCUCUAUCUCUGUCUCUCCACGCCUCACCGCCCCCUGCCCCAACACAUGCACAUACACUUUGCGAUGGCACCUGAGCCACCUCUGGCAAAUCCUGGGGCACUGGAAAGUAAUGGGAAAACCAUUGACUAGGCCCAAACCCCUCAUUCUACAGAGGAGGAACAGAG